CAUUUACUGAAGGUGAGGCAUAUGAACACUUAAUUUCUUUUUACGGUGGCAUAUGAAGACAUUUUUUGCACAGGGGGUGGAGAAUUUGAUCAGUCAAAUUUCAAAAAGUUCAAAAUCUCGGGAGAGGGCAUGUUGAAGUUUUGAAUUGAUCGGUACAUAAUAUCUACAAUUGACUAACAAGUAAUCUGGAAAAUGACAAAACGGCCACAAAACUAAACAUAACAUAUGUAUUAAAUAAUUUAAAACAACUUUGCUUCCAACAGUCACAGUCUGUUGGGCAAGAGAAGGACUAUAUAUAUGCACACAAUUGACAUUGCAUGUAGUGAGGCCCAGUGUUACGGUAAAUUCUGACAGGCGACAUUGCUUUGAAAUGGUGACAUAUCAAAAACGAAAUAGCGACAUCAGAUUAAUCGGACACAAACUCUGUCUAAAUUGUUACUGCAACAUGGAAAAGGAGGAAAACAAUAGAAAAAUUCUGAAAGUGGCAUAUACCACGGUAGCAAUGUUCUCAAGCGAUAAUAUUUACUUGUUUUGAAAACCAGUUGAGCGAAAUGCAUAUCCACCAACAGGGCCUAGUUGGAUGAAAUCCCCAUAAUUUUCACAUUAAUUAAUCACAUACCUUGUAAAUCUGUUACAGGCAGAGACAGAUUUUCAUAUUUUCGUUUGGGGGGGGGUGGAUAAAUAUCUGGGGGGUGCU